GACCCAGUGGCGGAAGGUCCGCAUCUGCCUUGCAUAUUGUAUCCAGUUUGGUCGUUGAACGUUGAACAGCAGAAGGCGCCCGUUCGACUCGGGCCUGGGUCG